ACGAAGGGGGCUAGCGUUGCUCGGAAUUACUGGGCGUAAAGGGCGCGUAGGCGGACAUUUAAGUCAGGGGUGAAAUCCCAGAGCUCAACUCUGGAACUGCCUUUGAUACUGGGUGUCUUGAGUGUGAGAGAGGUAUGUGGAACUCCGAGUGUAGAGGUGAAAUUCGUAGAUAUUCGGAAGAACACCAGUGGCGAAGGCGACAUACUGGCUCAUUACUGACGCUGAGGCGCGAAAGCGUGGGGAGCAAACAG
rnacentral:rRNA from 1 species